rnacentral:rRNA from 1 species
UACGUAGGUGGCAAGCGUUGUCCGGAAUUAUUGGGCGUAAAGCGCGCGUAGGCGGCUCCUUAAGUCUGAUGUGAAAUCUCGGGGCUCAACCCCGAGCGGCCAUUGGAAACUGGGAAGCUUGAGUACAGAAGAGGAGAGUGGAAUUCCACGUGUAGCGGUGAAAUGCGUAGAUAUCUGGAGGAACACCGGUGGCGAAGGCGGCAUCCUGGACCGGUAUUGACGCUGAGGCGCGAAAGCCAGGGGAGCAAACGGG